rnacentral:rRNA from 1 species
GACGAACGCUGGCGGCGUGCUUAAUACAUGCAAGUCGAACGGUAAGGCCCUGUUCUUGCGGCGUGCUCAAGUGGCGAAAGGGGGUGUAUCACGUGAGUAACCUGUCCCUGACAUCGGGGUAACUCCAGGAAACUGGGGUUAUUAUCGGAUAGGAGCUCCUGCUGCAUGGUGUGGGUUGUAAAGAUACGCCGGUUGGGGAUGGACACGUGGUCCAUCAGCGUGUUGGCGGGGUAGUGGCUUACCAGGGCGUCGACGGGUAGCCGGCCUGAGAGGGUGACCGGCCACAUUGGGACUGAGAUACGACCAAGACUGCUACGGGAGGCAUGAGUGGAGGUUAGUCCGCGAUGGGCGGAGGGAGUAUGCAGCAUCGCCGCGUGGGGGAUGACGGUCUGCGGGGUGUAACGCGCUUGCGACUGGGACGAAGAGUGAGUGACGGUAAUGGGUAAGGAAGCACCGGCUAACUACGUG